rnacentral:tRNA from 1 species
GCCCCCGUUGUCUAAUGGUUAUGACGUCAGCCUUCUAAGCUGGAGGUUGCGGGUUCGAACCCCGCCGGGGGUU